UCAUUGCUGGAACAAACGCCCUCACGGGUGCUACCCAGAAACCCUUUGUGAACUUAUAACUUGUUGCCUCGGCAGUGGUUGGCUUCGAAUGAAGUCCCUUACAAUCCUUCUGGCGCGUAAGGAGCAGACCGGCCGACGGCCCUAUAAACUCUUGUUUUUGUAAUAUCAUCUGAGUAAAACAACUAAAAUGAAUCAAAACUUUCAACAACGGAUCUCUUGGUUCUGGCAUCGAUGAAGAACGCAGCGAAAUGCGAUAAGUAAUGUGAAUUGCAGAAUUCAGUGAAUCAUCGAAUCUUUGAACGCACAUUGCGCCCGGUGGUAUUCCACCGGGCAUGCCUGUUCGAGCGUCAUUUCAACCCUCAAAAAUCCUGUAUUUUUGGUGUUGGAGGAAUACNNNGUUACAGGGUACCCUCUGAAAUUUAGUGGCGGGCUCGCUAGAAUUUUGAGCGUAGUAAUUUAUACCUCGUUUUUAAAGACUAGUGGGACUUCUUGCCGUAAAACCCCCCAACUUU
rnacentral:rRNA from 1 species